AAGGGACGUAUUCGCACGUCGUUUAAGACCAAGUCAAAGAUUUUUCCCGAAAAGACUUAAGCUAUCGAGGUUGAACGUGUACGAGGAGGCGAAGGUGUUGUUGGGAAAUGAUCAUUAAUAAGUAGUUAGGUAGCCCAAAGUAGUAUGUCUUCAUACAUACUAUUUUGUCUUGGACUCUUCCGCUGCAGUAGAACUAUGUUCUAGGAAUGUAUGAUUUCAGUCUUGACACUCUGACUUUCUUUUGACUAUGUACCCAUUUGCCUUCGAAACUAUUUCCUUGAGUUGAAUUGUUUCUGUUAUGCUUAA